AGGAAAAUUCUAGCUUCUUGCAUAGUUACUGGAAGUUUUCACAUUCUAAAGCACAAGUUUCAAUUGGAAGGAACUUUCAAAUACUGAUGUUGGCAAUACACAUUCAUGCCUCCAGACAUGCAACUGAAAAUUAACUGUGUAAUUAUCAUAAAAAAGAAAGCAUUUCACUGCCAUAAGUACAAACUAUCCACACGACAUUGGGAAGUUGAAGUAAGCAUCACAUUGUUGU
rnacentral:misc_RNA from 1 species